UACGGAAGGCAGCGGUGGGGAAUAUUGCACAAUGGGCGAAAGCCUGAUGCAGCUAUGCCGCGUGUAUGAAGAAGGCCUUAGGGUUGUAAAGUACUUUCAUCGGGGAGGAAAAACAAAACUAAUAAUUUUAUUUCUUGACGUUACCCGAAAAAGAAGCACCGGCUAACUCCGUGCCAGCAGCCGCGGUAAUACGGAGGGUGCUAGCGUUAAUCAGAAUUACUGGGCGUAAAGAGCACGUAGGUGGUUUUUUUAAGUCAGAUGUGAAAUCCCUGGGCUUAACCUGGAACUGCAUUUUGAAACUGAAAUACUAGAGUAUCGUAGAGGGAGGUAGAAUUCUAGGUGUAGCGGUGAAAUGCGUAGAUAUCUGGAGGAAUACCUGUGGCGAAAGCGGCCUCCUAAACGAAUACUGACACUGAGGGUGCGAAAGCGUGGGGAGCAAACAGGGAUUAGAUACC
rnacentral:rRNA from 1 species